UCACAAUUUUUAUUUUCUAAUUGUAAGUAUCAGUGAGAACUGGAAUUAUUCAAGUAAAACUAUAUAUGUCAUUCAUGUAAUAAAUAAACUGUGUGGGAAGAGUAAGUUUUAUUAUGUAUUUUCACAUAAUAUUCAAAGGUUUCAUAGUCAUUGCACAUGAACUUACAAAUACCAAGUAAGUUUAAAUACUGUUGGCGUUUUUCGAAUGCGCGCAUGCGCCAUGUGACGCGCAAACAGGACGCAUGCGCUUCGUUGUCCGCCAAAACACAAGAAGACGACGAUGGAGUUCAGGUUAAAUGGAGACAGGAGCAGCUAAAUCAUCUUAAAGCCCCAAUGCAACAACUUUAAAUUUGACAGAGUGCCCUCUCAAGCAGCCACAACAGCAAGCUGUGUCACAAGCAAAGCUGGCAAUUCAGCCUCCACCGGAAAAGUUCUCCUGCUACAGCAUUUGAUUUGAAUGGCUAAUGUAAGAAUAUCAGCAGAGAGGAAGCUCAAAAGGACCAGGCUGAGCAAGUCCUAAGGAUCUGUGUCUUCCACACAAGUGAAGAAGAUGAAGUUGCAUCCGAAACUGAUGUCGAUUGUUAUUGAAGGGCAUGAGGUACUUGACAACUGUGGAAGUGUUGCAAAAGACUGUCUCCUGCUCGUAGGCAUCAUUUAUGCCAUGAACUUGAAAAACGAAGUACACUUUUGAAAAUUUUAAAAGCUAAACAAAACUUAUAACUUGAAUGCACAUGUUUGACCCAUGAGUUGUCAUUUCAAAGAGGGCGCUAAAAGAAAAAUAUGGCACAGUUGUUUAUGUGGCUAUUUGUCUAUUUUCUUAUUUUUCUCUCGUUUUAAUGAUGUAGUUUUUAUUUUAACUUGUUGCACUGUAUUAAACAUGUGGCCAUGUAGAGUGGCUAAGUUGUGGGGACAAAAGAAAAGAAGUUAGAUCAGCAUUUUCAAGUCAAACCAGAGGUUCUCAACUGGUGGGUCGUGGGGCCAUUUUCAAUGGGUCACAGA